UAGCUCACGGCACUAACAUGGCUUCCUCCAUCACAAACGAGCAAGCGCCGCUGAUGUGUGCGCGCCUCCCCCCGCUCUGUCCGGAUGGUUCAGUCCAUAUUGUAAGUAGCAAUUCUAGGUCAGGUUGACUUGCCGCCGUCGAGCACCACCACUGACUGACUGCUGGAGAUCAAUGUGAGGGGACGGUGCUCCGAAACUCCCGCAAUGAUUUACCAGAUCAGAUGCAGCAUGUCCCCUUUUCAUUGAAUGGAAAAUAGCAGCUCUGCUAAGCAUCAUAAGAAGAAAGGAAUAAGACAUUGAGGUUCGGACCAACGUGAAGGAAAGAAAGGUGAAAUUUAGAGAAGAGUAGCAGGUUGGGAAGGUGGAGGUGUUGCCAAAUCACUGAUGAUUACACACCGUUCACAGAAAAACGCACAACCAGCGACACCAUGGCAACAACACUCUUCUCAGUCCAGGCAGGCCAUGGCACAUUUGGGCCGCGUCCAACAGACGUACGAAUGCUGAACUCCACAGCCUGAAGGAGAAACGGACACCGGAUAGCUCUGGGACUUAACACACAUGGGAAGAGAGAGAUACGCUUCAGCAAGUGUUCCCCUGCUCAGUCUGAUGACAUGCAGUUUCGUCCUGGAUGCCGGGACACUGCGUCCAUCACGUCAUCACCACGGAGCCAUGACGGGCGUCCUGAGAGCAAUCAUAUCACAAAAACCUUGAGGUGGAAGAUUGUGUGCUGUUUUAUUGGGAUAUAAGGCAAGGAUGUGCUGUAACAUCUAAUAUUUACACUGUAAAAGUAAAAUGUUGGGUUGUUUAAAGGGACACUCCACUUUUUUUGAAAAUAUGCUCAUUUUCCUGCUCCCCUAGAGUUAAACAUUUGAUUCUUACCGUUUUGGAAUCCAUUCAGCCGAUCUCCGGGUCUGGCGCUAGCACUGUUAGC